rnacentral:rRNA from 1 species
GAUGAACGCUGGCGGCGUGCCUAAUACAUGCAAGUCGAGCGAACAGACGAGGAGCUUGCUCCUCUGACGUUAGCGGCGGACGGGUGAGUAACACGUGGAUAACCUACCUAUAAGACUGGGACAACUUCGGGAAACCGGAGCUAAUACCGGAUAAUAUAUUGAACCGCAUGGUUCAAUAGUGAAAGACGGUUUUGCUGUCACUUAUAGGUGGAUCCGCGCCGCAUUAGCUAGUUGGUAAGGUAACGGCUUACCAAGGCAACGAUGCGUAGCCGACCUGAGAGGGUGAUCGGCCACACUGGAACUGAGACACGGUCCAGACUCCUACGGGAGGCAGCAGUAGGGAAUCUUCCGCAAUGGGCGAAAGCUUGACGGAGCAACGCCGCGUGAGUGAUGAAGGUCUUCGGAUCGUAAAACUCUGUUAUUAGGGAAGAACAAAUGUGUAAGUAACUAUGCACGUCUUGACGGUACCUAAUCAGAAAGCCACGGCUAACUACGUG